GUCACUUCUCGGCCUUUUGGCUAAGAUCAAGUGUAUUUUUUAAAUUAAAACAUAAAAGUUAUAUUUAUUUAUGGAGUACCAAGUGAUAGUUCAGUACUUAUAAAUGUUGCUCUCUCCCUCCCUCCCUUACCCCCUCUCUAAGGCAGGGUCUCAACU
rnacentral:snRNA from 1 species